GGAACUGGGAGGUGGAAAUAAGGCACUUCGAAAGGAGGAUUCUGCUGCAGUAUAUGGACUGUACCCUGUCUGGAACCCCAAAGCAGGAGAAGGCUGCUGAUCACAUGACUUGUCCUCUUUUUGAGGACUUGAAUUAAGGUAUGGGUAUAGCUGGCAAUGUCUGAUAGGAAAGUUAGACUGGUUUGCUGAUUACUGGGUGAAUUUGGGUGGAUGAUAGCAUUGUCACCUGCAGCACUGCCACAGAAGGCAUGCCUGAGAGUAAUGACCCCAGCACACCUCCUUGUAGCAGUUAGGAACUUUGAAUUAUCUCCUGCACUGUAGUGACAGAUACUCACCAGCACACAGAAGAAGAGUGAAUUCAAUGGAACCUUGAAAUUGAGUCUGAAUCUCUCUUAUAAUAAAACUUGAUUUCUUAUUUUG